rnacentral:lncRNA from 1 species
CUUUACCAUUAGCACAUUUUUUUUAUAUUAAAAAUGAAAUAUACGUGAAUGGUUCCAUUUUUAUGCCAUUCUGGAAAAGGCAAAACUACAGGGCCAGAGAAAAGCACUGGUUGCCAGGUUUGGGAAUAGGGGAGGAGUUGACUAGAGAAGGGGACAAAGGGACUUUUUGGGGUAAGAGAAAUGUUUGAUAUUUUGAUGAAUUGUGGUAACAGAUACAUGUCUGUAUGAGUUUGUUAAAAUUCACAGAACUGGAUGAUAAAAAAGGUGACUUUACUGUAUAUAAAUUAUACCUCAAUAAACCUGACUUUUAAAAGUGAAAUGUACAGAGAAAAUAUAGACAGCAAGGACGAUAUUUUAUUUUCUUUUGAGGAAGAUUCGCCCUAAGCUAACAUCUGCUGCCCAUCCUCCUCUUUUUUGCUGAGGAAGACUGGCCCUGAGCUAACAUCUGUGCCCAUCUUCCUCUACUUUUUAUAUGUGGGACGCCUGCCUCACCAUGGCUUGACAAGUGGUGCAUAGGUCUGCACCCAGGAUCCAAACCCGAGAACCCUGAGCUGCCAAAGCAGAAUGUGCCAACUCAAUUGCAGAGCCACCAGGCUGACCCCAAGGACUAUAUUUUUAAAAUAAUUUUAGGGCCAGCCCCUGUGACCUAGUGGUUAAGUUCAGCUCGCUCCCUUUGGUGACCCUGGGUUCAGUUCCCUAGGCAUGACCUACACUGCUCUGUUAGCAGCCAUGCUGUGCUGGCAGCCUACAUAAAAACUCUAAAAAUAUUUUAAAUUACACAAGCAAUAAAAUUACACAAUAAAUAAAUAAUCCGUUAUGCAUUUUAAAAAUUAGAACAUUACAGGUGAAUCUAAAGUCUUGUGUGUCAGGUCCCCAUUCUGAUCCCCUCCUUCCUUCCCGGGGGUGAACACUGAUGUGUGUUCUUCCACAUUUUUUAAAAAGUUAAAACAUACAAAUAUGUGGUUGUAGAAAAUGUAUAGCACUGGGUUUUCUGUGGACACGUGCGUGCUCUUUAUUACAUUAAUGGUAUCACACAGUACCCUAAUCAAUAACUUUUUCACUGUUUUUUUCUUUUUGGUGAGGAAGAUUGGCUCUGAGCUAACAUCUGUUGCCAAUCUUAUUGUUUUUGCUUGAGGAAGAUUGUCCCUGAGCUAACAACCGUGCCAAUCUUUCUCUAUUUUCUAUGUGGGAUGCUUCCCCAGCAGCGUGAUGAGCAGUGUGUAGGUCGGCGUCAGGACAGCCGUGAAGCCCGGUGCAGGAAUUUAACCAAUACGCCACCAGCCGGCUCCUCGCUUUUUCUUUUUUAUGUAUCUGUUGAUAAAGAUCUACUUCCAUCACUCCAAGUGCAGGAUUAAAUUUUUUGUUUGUUUACGAUCAUGGUAUCAUGCUGUACCUUAUUCUGCAACUCAUCACUGUUUUUUGAUGUCUAAUUCACUCGCUGGAAGUGCAGCAGAUAGCAUUCCACUUCACGAACACACCGCAUUCUGUUAAUCCGUUGUGUAGGUGAUUAGCUGGCUCCCAGUUUUUCGCUCUUACAGUGAUCCCCUGCCCACCGUGCUCGCGUGCUGGGCCGCUUCAGGGUGGAUGGCUAGGAGUGGCACAGUUUGUGCACUUUCAAUUUUAACAGGAUAGGACUCGCGUCUUCCCCAGAUAGGCACCCAGAGCCACCCAGAAGCGGGUCGGCGGCGCACCGGACGAUCGGACAGACCCCGCUCAUAGCCGCCGCCCGGGGCUCCACGGCUGCCCUAGCGCAGCCGCUCUUCCCCGCCCCUCCCUCGGCGCCCGCCGAGACCUUCCCAGCAAGCACUGCACAUAUUUGCAUAGCAAUUCGCGUCCUUGCUUCACUUCAAAAAACAGAAAUGACAAAUCAAAGAGUCUUCUUGUGAAGACGUCCCUUUGCUUCAGAAGAUGUUGCAGUUCCUCUCUCAAACUCAGGAACAGGGAGUAGGAAAUGGCAUCGGCUUUGUUUUCACCUUUACCAAAAGAGAGGUUCGGCAACAGCGCCCCCCUGCUUUGAAUUUUUUCUUUUUAAAAAGGGCUUCUGUCGUGAGUGGCACACGUGGGGCAGCUCAAUUGCUCUUCGUGCGGAAUCGACAUCAAGAGAUUUCGGAAGCAUAAUUUUUUGGUACUCGGGCAGCUGGUGAUCGUUGGUCUCGGCGCCCCUGUUCAGAUGGGUCCGAAAAGAAAAACGAGUUCUCGUUGGCCUCUGUAAGAGUAAUGCGGAAACUGAGGCCAAGACAGAGACUGAUCCAAGGUCACGGAGCCAGCAAGCACUGAACUUGUCCUCUCUGACUCCAAAACCAGGAAGUCCGCCUUUCGCUUUGGUCGUGGUGGUGGGCAGUGGGUGAGGGUGGGGUGAGGGCAGGGGAGGAAGUGAUUCACUUGGCUGUAUCCAGAUUCAUCCCAGACUUUUUUUUUCUUGUACCCACUGGCAGAACUUCCUCCUUUUCUCUCUCUGCCUCGUUUUCUGAUUCACUCCCCAUCUGUUAUGGUUUCUGAGAAUGUGGGUGCAGAGGGUGGGGUAAGCUGUGGGGAGUGGGAGGGAGAAUGCAGCCAGUCCUUAAUAAACAAAUAUUUUUUAUGCUCUCUAUGUACCAGGCAACGUUCUAGGGGCUGGGAGUCCUGCCGUGAAUAAAACAGACCUUGUCCCAGCUCUCAUGGAGAGUCCAUUGCAGGGUGUAUGUGUGUGUUGAGGGCAUGGUGAGGGAUAAAGAGGGGGCUGGGGUAGAAAGGGAG